rnacentral:tRNA from 1 species
GCCGGCAUAGCUCAGUGGUAGAGCAGCGGUUUUGUAAACCGUUGGUCGGGAGUUCAAGUCUCUCUGCCGGCACCA